rnacentral:lncRNA from 1 species
UGUAAGAGUACAUCUGUAUUAAAUGUGAUCAAUGUAACACACUACUGUCAAGAGUAGUUAGCUAAGGUCAAUGGAUAUAAGUGUCCCUCCGACCUGAGAUCACCACGGUGACUUGCAAGCAACUCACUGUGCUUUGAUACCGGACUGUCUGUAUUUUUAAUAUAGGUUCAAAAGAUUUUUGGGUACAGUCAAGUACUUGUGAAGUCAAUGUAUGA